rnacentral:rRNA from 1 species
AACUCUGGUAUUGAUUGGUGCUUGCAUCAUGAUUUACAUUUGAGUGAGUGGCGAACUGGUGAGUAACACGUGGGAAACCUGCCCAGAAGCGGGGGAUAACACCUGGAAACAGAUGCUAAUACCGCAUAACAACUUGGACCGCAUGGUCCGAGCUUGAAAGAUGGCUUCGGCUAUCACUUUUGGAUGGUCCCGCGGCGUAUUAGCUAGAUGGUGGGGUAACGGCUCACCAUGGCAAUGAUACGUAGCCGACCUGAGAGGGUAAUCGGCCACAUUGGGACUGAGACACGGCCCAAACUCCUACGGGAGGCAGCAGUAGGGAAUCUUCCACAAUGGACGAAAGUCUGAUGGAGCAACGCCGCGUGAGUGAAGAAGGGUUUCGGCUCGUAAAACUCUGUUGUUAAAGAAGAACAUAUCUGAGAGUAACUGUUCAGGUAUUGACGGUAUUUAACCAGAAAGCCACGGCUAACUACGUGCCAGCAGCCGCGGUAAUACGUAGGUGGCAAGCGUUGUCCGGAUUUAUUGGGCGUAAAGCGAGCGCAGGCGGUUUUUUAAGUCUGAUGUGAAAGCCUUCGGCUCAACCGAAGAAGUGCAUCGGAAACUGGGAAACUUGAGUGCAGAAGAGGACAGUGGAACUCCAUGUGUAGCGGUGAAAUGCGUAGAUAUAUGGAAGAACACCAGUGGCGAAGGCGGCUGUCUGGUCUGUAACUGACGCUGAGGCUCGAAAGUAUGGGUAGCAAACAGGAUUAGAUACCCUGGUAGUCCAUACCGUAAACGAUGAAUGCUAAGUGUUGGAGGGUUUCCGCCCUUCAGUGCUGCAGCUAACGCAUUAAGCAUUCCGCCUGGGGAGUACGGCCGCAAGGCUGAAACUCAAAGGAAUUGACGGGGGCCCGCACAAGCGGUGGAGCAUGUGGUUUAAUUCGAAGCUACGCGAAGAACCUUACCAGGUCUUGACAUACUAUGCAAAUCUAAGAGAUUAGACGUUCCCUUCGGGGACAUGGAUACAGGUGGUGCAUGGUUGUCGUCAGCUCGUGUCGUGAGAUGUUGGGUUAAGUCCCGCAACGAGCGCAACCCUUAUUAUCAGUUGCCAGCAUUAAGUUGGGCACUCUGGUGAGACUGCCGGUGACAAACCGGAGGAAGGUGGGGAUGACGUCAAAUCAUCAUGCCCCUUAUGACCUGGGCUACACACGUGCUACAAUGGAUGGUACAACGAGUUGCGAACUCGCGAGAGUAAGCUAAUCUCUUAAAGCCAUUCUCAGUUCGGAUUGUAGGCUGCAACUCGCCUACAUGAAGUCGGAAUCGCUAGUAAUCGCGGAUCAGCAUGCCGCGGUGAAUACGUUCCCGGGCCUUGUACACACCGCCCGUCACACCAUGAGAGUUUGUAACACCCAAAGUCGGUGGGGUAACCUUUUAGGAACCAGCCGCCUAAGGUGGGACA